CCUAUACCUGCAGUCGAGCGGACAGAUGGGAGCUUGCUCCCUGAUGUUAGCGGCGGACGGGUGAGUAACACGUGGGUAACCUGCCUGUAAGACUGGGAUAACUCCGGGAAACCGGGGCUAAUACCGGAUGGUUGUUUGAACCGCAUGGUUCAAACAUAAAAGGUGGCUUCGGCUACCACUUACAGAUGGACCCGCGGCGCAUUAGCUAGUUGGUGAGGUAACGGCUCACCAAGGCAACGAUGCGUAGCCGACCUGAGAGGGUGAUCGGCCACACUGGGACUGAGACACGGCCCAGACUCCUACGGGAGGCAGCAGUAGGGAAUCUUCCGCAAUGGACGAAAGUCUGACGGAGCAACGCCGCGUGAGUGAUGAAGGUUUUCGGAUCGUAAAGCUCUGUUGUUAGGGAAGAACAAGUACCGUUCGAAUAGGGCGGUACCUUGACGGUACCUAACCAGAAAGCCACGGCUAACUACGUGCCAGCAGCCGCGGUAAUACGUAGGUGGCAAGCGUUGUCCGGAAUUAUUGGGCGUAAAGGGCUCGCAGGCGGUUUCUUAAGUCUGAUGUGAAAGCCCCCGGCUCAACCGGGGAGGGUCAUUGGAAACUGGGGAACUUGAGUGCAGAAGAGGAGAGUGGAAUUCCACGUGUAGCGGUGAAAUGCGUAAAGAUGUGGAGGAACACCAGUGGCGAAGGCGACUCUCUGGUCUGUAACUGACGCUGAGGAGCGAAAGCGUGGGGAGCGAACAGCAUUAGAUACCCUGGGGAGUCCACGCCGCUAGACGAUAAGUGCUAGGUGUUUGGGGGGGUUUCCCCCCCCCUACUUGCGGCAGCUGACUCCCGUAGGCACUCCCGGCGCCCGGGGAACGUAGGCGCCGAUGGAUUCUC
rnacentral:rRNA from 1 species